GGACUUUUUUCAGGAUUUCAGAGAUGUAUUCGGGUCUAAUCCGCUUGUGCCUCUUUGAUUUCAUCGGCAGAUUAAUCGGCGAUAAGUAUAAAUGGUUUAAUAUUCGUAAUUUUAAAAUUUAAUUUUGUGUUUAGUUUACCAGUUUUGUUUAAAUUUGUUGGAGAGUAAUUACCAGAUGAAGGUGGUGAAAGGAGAUUACGGCUAUGUUCUUGAAGAUGUUCCUCAUUUGACUGAUUAUAUCCCUGAUCUUCCUGUAUUGUUCUUGUAUUCUCUCUUUUUUUUUUCUCUUAAUUUCU
rnacentral:misc_RNA from 1 species